ACCAAUGUGAUAGUCAAUAUGGAUCCAACAGUGGAGCUCGUCGGCCAGCGCGCGCCUUCGGUGUGUAGGGAGUAUUAAUGGACAGGAGUUGUACCAGGUGCUACCUGCAGAGGUCCCUCCUCCCUACUUCCCUCCUCCCGUCCCUGCUGCUCCUUCACUAAGCUACAACUCAAACGCACCCGACCCCAUCGCUGUUUCCCGUAGGUGGUGGGCCCGCGGGACGGAGAAGCGGAG